GGCCACUCUAUGGGGUCCGAUUAAGCCAUGCGAGUCAUGGGGCGCGCUCUGCGCGCACCGGCGGACGGCUCAGUAACACGUCGGUAACCUACCCUCGGGAGGGGGAUAACCCCGGGAAACUGGGGCUAAUCCCCCAUAGGCCUGGGGUACUGGAAGGUCCCCAGGCCGAAAGGGGCUCUGCCCGCCCGAGGAUGGGCCGGCGGCCGAUUAGGUAGUUGGUGGGGUAACGGCCCACCAAGCCGAAGAUCGGUACGGGCCAUGAGAGUGGGAGCCCGGAGAUGGACACUGAGACACGGGUCCAGGCCCUACGGGGCGCAGCAGGCGCGAAACCUCCGCAAUGCGGGAAACCGCGACGGGGGGACCCCCAGUGCCGUGGCACAGCCACGGCUUUUCCGGAGUGUAAAAAGCUCCGGGAAUAAGGGCUGGGCAAGGCCGGUGGCAGCCGCCGCGGUAAUACCGGCGGCCCAAGUGGUGGCCGCUAUUAUUGGGCCUAAAGCGUCCGUAGCCGGGCCCGUAAGUCCCUGGCGAAAUCCCACGGCUCAACCGUGGGGCUUGCUGGGGAUACUGCGGGCCUUGGGACCGGGAGAGGCGGGGGGUACCCCUGGGGUAGGGGUGAAAUCCUAUAAUCCCAGGGGGACCGCCAGUGGCGAAGGCGCCCCGCUGGAACGGGUCCGACGGUGAGGGACGAAGGCCAGGGGAGCGAACCGGAUUAGAUACCCGGGUAGUCCUGGCUGUAAAGGAUGCGGGCUAGGUGUCGGGCGAGCUUCGAGCUCGCCCGGUGCCGGAGGGAAGCCGUUAAGCCCGCCGCCUGGGGAGUACGGCCGCAAGGCUGAAACUUAAAGGAAUUGGCGGGGGAGCACUACAAGGGGUGGAGCGUGCGGUUUAAUUGGAUUCAACGCCGGGAACCUCACCGGGGGCGACGGCAGGAUGAAGGCCAGGCUGAAGGUCUUGCCGGACGCGCCGAGAGGAGGUGCAUGGCCGCCGUCAGCUCGUACCGUGAGGCGUCCACUUAAGUGUGGUAACGAGCGAGACCCGCGCCCCCAGUUGCCAGUCCUCCCCGCUGGGGAGGAGGCACUCUGGGGGGACCGCCGGCGAUAAGCCGGAGGAAGGAGCGGGCGACGGUAGGUCACUAUGCCCCGAAA
rnacentral:rRNA from 1 species